UCGAGCGAGGCGGGGGGCAACCCCCAGUCGAGCGGCGAACGGGUGAGUAACGCGUGGAUGACCUGCCCUUCAGCGGGGAAUAACCCGGGGAAACUCGGGCUAAUACCGCAUACGACCGAGAGGUGAAAGGGGGCCGCAAGGCUCCUACUGAAGGAGGGGUCCGCGUCCGAUUAGCUAGUUGGUAGGGUAAUGGCCUACCAAGGCGACGAUCGGUAGCCGGCCUGAGAGGGUGAUCGGCCACACUGGAACUGAGACACGGUCCAGACUCCUACGGGAGGCAGCAGUGGGGAAUUUUGCGCAAUGGGCGGAAGCCUGACGCAGCAACGCCGCGUGGAGGAUGAAGGUCUUUGGAUUGUAAACUCCUGUCAGCAGGGAAAAAGGGAAGGGGCCUAAUACGCCUAUGACUUGAUUGUACCUGCAGAGGAAGCCCCGGCUAACUCUGUGCCAGCAGCCGCGGUAAUACAGAGGGGGCAAGCGUUA
rnacentral:rRNA from 1 species